rnacentral:rRNA from 1 species
GGGUGAGUAACAGGUGGAUAAUCUGCCUAUCAGUGGGGAAUACCGGUUGGAAACGACUGUUAAUACCGCAUACGGAUAUAUUUUCUUCGGAUUAUAUAUAGAAAGGGCCUUUUGGUUCGCUGAUAGAUGAGUCCGCCCCCCAUUAGGUAGUUGGUGUGAUAAAAGCGCACCAAGCCUGCGAUGGGUAGCCGGACUGAGAGGUUGGCCGGCCACACUGGAACUGAGACACGGUCCAGACACC